rnacentral:rRNA from 1 species
UACGUAGGGGGGCAAGCGUUGUCCGGAUUUAUUGGGCGUAAAGAGCGUGUAGGCGGCUAGAUAGGUCCGUUGUGAAAACUCGAGGCUCAACCUCGAGACGUCGAUGGAAACCAUCUGGCUAGAGUCCGGAAGAGGAGAGUGGAAUUCCUGGUGUAGCGGUGAAAUGCGCAGAUAUCAGGAGGAACACCGGUGGCGAAGGCGGAUCUCUGGGCCGAUACUGACGCUGAGGAGCGAAAGCGUGGGGAGCGAACAGG